GAUGAAGAACGUAGUGAAAUGCGAUACGUAAUGUGAAUUGCAGAAUUCAGUGAAUCAUCGAGUCUUUGAACGCACAUUGCGCCCCCCGGUAUUCCGGGGGGCAUGCCUGUCCGAGCGUCAUUGCUGCCCUCAAGCACGGCUUGUGUGUUGGGCCUCCGUCCUCCUCCCGGGGGACGGGCCCGAAAGGCAGCGGCGGCACCGCGUCCGGUCCUCGAGCGUAUGGGGCUUCGUCACCCGCUCUUGUAGGCCCGGCCGGCGCUUGCCGACACAUCAAUCUUUUUUCCAGGUUGACCUCGGAUCAGGUAGGGAUACCCGCUGAACUUAAGCAUAUCAAUAAGCGGAGGA
rnacentral:misc_RNA from 1 species